rfam:Glomerella graminicola M1.001 genomic scaffold supercont1.38, whole genome shotgun sequence.
CGACUAUGAUGAACAAACCUUUCAUUCAGUUCUGCUACUGAACACUGUGAUGAUACCCAUAUACCAAAAACCUUGUCUGAUAU